UGCGUCUGAGGGUUGUGUUUGUUUGUUUCUUUUCCAAAUAGUUUCCAUUUUCCACAGUUCUUCUCGCAACUGUAAGCUAUGUCGCAUGUACUUGUCAAAUGGCCGCGGCUUGCUCAGUGGGAUGUAUAUCCCGUUAGAGUAAUCGUGGACGCAGAUUUGGGGAGGCAACUUGCAGCAUAUCCAUCACACGUGGAGGCUCUGAGGGGUCAGAAAGUGCUUGUCAAAUGGAAGGACGGCGUUCAAGCUUCUUCAGCUUACAUUUUGGCUGUCGGUUCUGACACAUCAGUAGAGAAAAAACGUACCAGGAUUGUCAAGGACCAUUAUUUGCAUAUGGAUGGAGCUGCAGCAGAAGGACCUGAUGCCGCCAAUCGUACACUGUGGCCACCUUCAACCUGCAUGACGACAGCAAGGUGAAGAACAGCCUGUCGAGCCUGCUCGUCAGGGAGUGUAAAUAAAUAAACAGA